rnacentral:lncRNA from 1 species
GAUGCUCAAAUUCAAGUAUCAAUAUUUUCUUCUUGUCCAUACUCUGAUUGACCAAGAACUGAGUGUGUUCCCUAGUUACAAGUCUUAGAAACUCCUUCGGUUUAGUUACAAGUCUUCUUUUUUCAACAAAUGAGCACUACUUGGAAUGUGUAUAUCGUCAUCCUUGAAAGUCAGUUCUGAACUUCUGUUGAGAUUUGUGAUUUCAUUUUUUUGACAUUACAUGACGAUAAUGCUCCUCCAUUCUUUCUGGCAGGAAUUUCUUGAAGUCUUAUUAUUUCCCACAAGGAGAGACUGCUUAAAGAUUUUUGUGGAAAAGUUUUGUUUGCUGAGUUUGUAAUUGCUGUAGAAGUAUUCCCGUGUAUCCUUGCAUAGUUUUCAGAUGUAUCCUAUAUUUAUGCCUCAGAAGGAAAUUAUGUGCCAUAGAUAAAGUUGAACAGGGGGUGGAUGUGCAAUCCCGGGGCUGGCAACAUACUUGAAUAAAACCAAAUAAUUGAUGUGGAAAUCUUUGGGCAAAGUUAGCUUUAUGUUCUGGUGAAGGACUCAUAAUUGAUCUCUUUUCAGACAGUUCUGGUAGGCUCUUCCACCAGUGAGCCAAAUGUCACAGACCGGAUAACUCCCUAGCUAUCUUCCGUGCGGCCUUAGUCACAAUUCGCCCCUGCGAUGUGCUAAGUCAGCCUUUCCCCGAAAUAUUGCCACAAAGAGAAAGCUUUGUACAAGUGUUGGAUUUCUCUAUGUCUUAUAUGUUCUUAAAUUCCAAAUGCCAUCCCAUAUUUAUAGGGGAGGCUUACAAGCUCUAGAGGUUCUAGAGAGUUCUACAGCCUUCUAGCUAUGUACAUGUCCUAGAAUUCUAUGGAGAGUUCUAGAGAGUUCUACUACAUUCUAGGUAGAUACAAGAGUGUUCUAGAGUUCUAGAGAGCUCUAGAGAUCUCUACACCUAGUAGAAUAUACAAGAUAACUCUAGAGAGGUCUAGAGUCUUCCAUUAGAAGAAUCUAGACUUGGCUAGAGAAAUGCUGCCAUUCGCGCGCCAAAUCAUUGCCAAUGUGUCGCCCAGUCAUCGCCCGCAUGGCAUAAUCUCCUAGAAAAUGUAGGGGCGUGACACAAAGCUCUGUAAACUCUUAAUUUUGUCAGAACACUUCCCCUUCGUGGUGUAGGGUCUUAAUAUGCUGAAAAAUAUUUAUUCGCACCUUAGUGUUGUACAAACUAUAUGGUUAAUCAUUGUUAAGUGAAAUAAUAAGGUAAAACUGCA